UACGUAGGGUGCAAGCGUUGUCCGGAAUUAUUGGGCGUAAAGAGCUCGUAGGCGGUCUGUCGAGUCUGCUGUGAAAACCCGAGGCUCAACCUCGGGCCUGCAGUGGGUACGGGCAGACUAGAGUGCGGUAGGGGAGAAUGGAAUUCCCGGUGUAGCGGUGAAAUGCGCAGAUAUCGGGAGGAACCCCGGUGGCGAAGGCGGUUCUCUGGGCCUGUACUGACGCUGAGGAGCGAAAGCGUGGGGAGCGAACAGG
rnacentral:rRNA from 1 species